rnacentral:rRNA from 1 species
AACAGCCGCGGUAAUUCCAGCUCCAAUAGCGUACAUUAAAGUUGUUGCAGUUAAAAAGCUCGUAGUUGAAUUUCGGGAUCAAUUCGUCGGUCGUGCUUUUUGGUACGUACUGGCGUUAUUGGUUUCUCCCUUCUGACGAGCCAUGAUGUCAUUAAUUUGGUGUUAUGGGGAGUUAGGACCGUUACUUUGAAAAAAUUAGAGUGUUUAAAGCAGGCAUUAGCUUGAAUACAUUAGCAUGGAAUAAUGAAAUAGGACGUUCGAUCCUAUUUUGUUGGUUUCUAGGAUCGACGUAAUGAUUAAUAGGGAUAGUUGGGGGCAUUAGUAUUCAAUUGUCAGAGGUGAAAUUCUUGGAUUUAUUGAAGACUAACUACUGCGAAAGCAUUUGCCAAGGAUGUUUUCAUUAAUCAAGAACGAAAGUUAGGGGAUCGAAGACGAUCAGAUACCGUCGUAGUCUUAACCAUAAACUAUGCCGACUAGGGAUCGGAUGAUGUUAUUUUUUUAAUGACUCA